rnacentral:rRNA from 1 species
AGUGAGGAAUAUUGGUCAAUGGGCGAGAGCCUGAACCAGCCAAAUCGCGUGAAGGAAGACUGCCUUAUGGGUUGUAAACUUCUUUUAUCAGGGAAUAAAAAGAGUUACGAGUAACUUAUUGCAUGUACCUGAUGAAUAAGCAUCGGCUAACUCCGUGCCAGCAGCCGCGGUAAUACGGAGGAUGCGAGCGUUAUCCGGAUUUAUUGGGUUUAAAGGGUGCGCAGGCGGGCUUUUAAGUCAGCGGUGAAAUCCCAACGCUUAACGUUGGAACUGCCGUUGAAACUGGGAGUCUUGAGUAUAGAUGAAGUAGGCGGAAUUCGUUGUGUAGCGGUGACAUGCUUAGAUAUAACGAGGAACUCCGAUUGCGUAGGCAGCUUACUAAGCUAUAACUGACGCUCAAGCACGAAAGCGUGGGGAUCAAACAGGAUUAGAUACCCUGGUAGUCCACGCCGUAAACGAUGAUUACUAGUUGUAUGCGAUAUACCGUAUGUGACUAAGCGAAAGCGAUAAGUAAUCCACCUGGGGAGUACGCCGGCAACGGUG